rnacentral:rRNA from 1 species
UACGUAGGUGGCAAGCGUUGUCCGGAAUUAUUGGGCGUACAGCGCGCGCAGGUGGUUCCUUAAGUCUGAUGUGAAAGCCCACGGCUCAACCGUGGAGGGUCAUUGGAAACUGGGGAACUUGAGUGCAGAAGAGGAAAGUGGAAUUCCAAGUGUAGCGGUGAAAUGCGUAGAGAUUUGGAGGAACACCAGUGGCGAAGGCGACUUUCUGGUCUGUAACUGACACUGAGGCGCGAAAGCGUGGGGAGCAAACAGG